AAGCACUAGACUUAAUUUAGGUAUUGUGUUUAUAAUUGCCAAUGCUUCUAACCAUCUGCAUGCAUAAAGCAAAUGCCCAUCCUUUCCAGAGGAAUAUUAUAUAUAGAACUUCAAAUUAUUACUACUAAUUUUUCAUGUAUAUAAAGUGCAUGACUCAAAACCAGGAAUAAAAGUCAGCGGAACAGAUCCAAAGAGGAAUUAGAUAAUAGAGCUAUCAGACAAGGACCUUCGGGUAACAGUGCUUAGUGCUUUUAAGAAAAUUAAAGGCAAUGCUGAGAAUUUUGGUAGAGAAUUAGAAAUCAUUAAAAAAAAAAAAAAGAAACACUCUAGAACUGAAAAUAUAGUAACUGAAAUUAAGGCAUCAGUAUAAGAAUUAAAUAGCAUGUUAGAGGAAAUUGAAGGAAGAAUCAGUCUUGGGAAAAUAGAAGAAAAUUUAGACUCAAGCAUAAAAAGAGACAAAAAGACC